rnacentral:rRNA from 1 species
GUGGGGAAUAUUGGACAAUGGGCGAAAGCCUGAUCCAGCCAUGCCGCGUGAGUGAUGAAGGCCUUAGGGUUGUAAAGCUCUUUCAGUAGGGAAGAUAAUGACGGUACCUACAGAAGAAGCCCCGGCUAACUUCGUGCCAGCAGCCGCGGUAAUACGAAGGGGGCUAGCGUUGUUCGGAAUUACUGGGCGUAAAGCGCACGUAGGCGGGUAUUUAAGUCAGGGGUGAAAUCCCGGAGCUCAACUCCGGAACUGCCUUUGAUACUGGGUACCUAGAGUAUGGAAGAGGUAAGUGGAAUUCCGAGUGUAGAGGUGAAAUUCGUAGAUAUUCGGAGGAACACCAGUGGCGAAGGCGGCUUACUGGUCCAUUACUGACGCUGAGGUGCGAAAGCGUGGGGAGCAAACAGGAUUAGAUACCCUUGUAGUCC